rnacentral:rRNA from 1 species
AGAGCGAACGCUGGCGGCAGGCCUAACACAUGCAAGUCGAGCGCCCCGCAAGGGGAGCGGCAGACGGGAGAGUAACACGUGGGAACGUGCCCUUUGGUUCGGAACAACACAGGGAAACUUGUGCUAAUACCGGAUAAGCCCUUACGGGGAAAGAUUUAUCGCCAAAGGAUCGGCCCGCGUCUGAUUAGCUAGUUGGUGAGGUAACGGCUCACCAAGGCUACGAUCAGUAGCUGGUCUGAGAUGAUGAUCAGCCUCACUGGGACUGAGACACGGCCCAGACUCCUACGGGAGGCAGCAGUGGGGAAUAUUGGACAAUGGGCGCAAGCCUGAUCCAGCCAUGCCGCGUGGGUGAUGAAGGCCCUAGGGUUGUAAAGCCCUUUCGGCGGGGAAGAUAAUGACGGUACCCGCAGAAGAAGCCCCGGCUAACUUCGUGCCAGCAGCCGC